UACAGUAUCCAAGGUGGGGAAGUUAAAGACUAGAUCUUACUCAGGAAUUCAUAAACACUGAGGUCAAAAUCGAACAACAUCACACAAAGGAAACAGCUCUCUUGGAUCAAGCCUUCUGUACCUACUGUUGGGUUUGUGAACGCCUUGGCCCCUUUAUAAAGUUUUAAAUCUAGUCCAUUAAGGCUCAUUUAUCGUUAGACUUACUGGGCCUGUAUAGGCCCGAGGACAGAUGUUAUUUUGUUAUGUUGAAAUCGGGAGUUCAAAUUUUCG